UUUUUUUUUGUGAAGGACCUACCAUAUAUUUGUUGAAAAAUUGGACCAAAUCAAUUUUAUAAAAUACUAGGCCAUGUUUAAUGCACAAUUGACAAAGUGGUUGGGUGCCAAAAGUUUUUAUCCACCUCUGGUGAAAAAGACAAAUUUCUGUUGAUUCAGUAGAAAGCGGGACAAAUUUGAACUGCAGCUGCCUCAUAGUUUGCUCUUUAUUUUUUCAAAAAAUCAUUUCUAGGUAGAAAAGUAUCUAUUUAAUUAGAAAUACAUGGUUUGGUGGCGAUACGUUGAGGUUUGGAUGGUGGCCCAGGGCCCCAUCUCCAAAGCGCGUAGACUCGCAUGCCCGUCGCGUGGUCACCGCGUGACCGUGGUGUUGCCACGCGUUCCGGGCGGCCUAGGCAUGUCUAGUGGGUUGGGCACUCCCCUGAUAGGUGUCAGGAAGAAGAAGGCAAUAGAAGAAUCUCACGAGGAGACUGAACCGAGCUCAAACAUGAAUUAGCACCCAAGUGUUUGAUUAGUGGUACGGGAAAUGCACAUGGCCAAUGGGCCUGAGUUUUGGCCGAGGAUGAUCAUCUACUAAGGACACUAUCUUGGAAAAUUUGCAUCUCAAAUGGAGGAGCCUAGGUGUCACUUGCUUUGCAAUGUACCACAGUGGACAGAAAUAUGAAUGUUGAAGCCACACUCACAUGUAUUGUUAGAUGGGGCUCAAAUUUUGUGUAGAGCUAUGAUUUGGGAAUAUAAAAGAUGUGGCAAAAAUUCAGCUCAUUAGGAUAUGCCUAGCCAGUACUUCCUUCACAACAGUUCGAGCUGAACAAAAACUUUGGAAAUUUGCCGAGGAAGAUUUACCAGUCAAAUGGAGUUGAAUAUUGUCAUGAGGCAAUGAUUUGGAUAGUAAAGAAUGCCCAAUUUUUGGGGGAAUUUUGGGAAUGAUAGAAAUAUAGGUUGCUUCACAACCUAGGGCAAAAAUUGACACAUGGACAUGACACAUAGGCAAAACUGAUGAGGUGGCGCCUUGUCAUAGCAAUAAGUACCAAUGCAUCCACGUUCACAACCUCAUGACCAUUUAUAUUGGUCGUAAUUAGCUAGAAAUUAGGUCAUUGGCGCCACUUGUCUGCUUUGUGACCAUUUGGUGUAAGCAAUUUCAGGGUUUCAGCCCUUCCAAGCGAAAUGGCCGUGAAUUUACGACCAAUUCAGCUGGGGUCAAUAAGAGAAGGUCAUAAGUUGACAUAUUUCUUGUAGUGGCUUCUUCUCUCUCUUUGAUCCUCAAUACAAUGUUCUCCUCCAUGUUCUCAGAGAUCUAUCCGAUGUAAUAUUCCUUUGCGGUGUGUUUGUCGAGAUCCGAUGAAUUGUGGAUUUAUGAUCAGUUUAUCUAUGAAUAUGAUUUAAAUCUUCUCUAAAUUCUUAUAUGCAUGAUUUGAUAUCUUUGUAUUUCUCUUCAAAUUAUCAGUUUGGUUUGGUCUUAGAUUGGUUCUUGCAAUGGGAGAGGUGCUUAGUUUUGGGUUCAAUCUUGCGGUGUCCUUACCUAGUGACAAAGUAGGGGUAGCGAGGCAUGUAUUUGUAUUGUUGCUAUCCAGGGUAAAAAGAUGGGGUUUUCAUCAUAUUUCUUGAGUUUAUCCCUCUACAUCAUGUCAUCUUGCUUAAGGCGUUACUCCGUUCUUAUGAACUUAAUACUCUAGAUGGAUGCUGGAUAGCGGUCGAUGUGUGGAGUAAUAGUAGUAGAUUAAGAACCGUUUCGGUCUACUUGACACGGACGUGAUGCCUAUAUUCAUAAUCAUUGCCUCGGAUAUCGUCAUAACUUUGUGUUUUUCUAUCAAUUGCUCGACAUUAAUUUGUUCACCCGCCGUAUUAUUUUCUUUCAAGAGAGAAGCCUCUAGUGAAACCUAUGGCCCUCGGGUCUAUUUUCCAUCAUUUAUUUUUUGAUCUAUAAACAAAAAAAAACCCAAAAAUUCCUUGUUGCAAUGUAUUUGUUUUUACUUUGUUUUAUGUUUCAGUAAUCUUUUAUAUCUAUCUCUAUCAGAUCUCACUUUUGCAAGUGACCGUGAAGGGAUUGACAACCCCUUUAUCGUGUUGGGUGCAAGUGUUUGAUUGUUUGUGCAGGUGCAUAGAUUGGAGACUUGCGUGUACCUCCUAGUAGAUUGAUACCGUGGUUCUCAAAACUGGGGGAAAUACUUAUCUCUACUUUGCUGCAUCACACUGUCCUCUUCAAGGGAAAAACCAACGCAAGCUCAAGAAGUAGCAAUUGACAAACUAAAAGUACGGUAAACAGGUUACCAUACCCAGAUGCCCCAUCAUUAUUGCUCAUAGUCACAUUGACAGACUUGGAGUCCUAUCCUGGCUUCUUGUACUUGUUUGGGCACUUGUUUGCCCAAUGUUCCUCUGAACGACAAGUAAAGCAGCCAUUUUGAUGUCUACUAUGCAACUUUUAUUCUUGUAGACUCUAUUGGGCCUCCAAGCGUAGAGUUUUGUAUGAUAGCAGAAAAUUUUCUUCAAGUGAACACUACUAGGGAAAACCUUAUACACAUAAUCUUAGCAGCAGCGAGGUUUAAACACAAGCGCUACUACUAAUUAGCAGUAGCAAGCUUCAGAAAACCGCGCUACUAAUAGCCUAGUAGCAGUAGCGCUCUAGGUGAAACGAGCGCUACUACUACAAUUGCCACGGUGUUGCCUUCAGGAUAGAUAUAGUAGUAGCGCCCUUCUCCUGGACACGCUACUGCUAAAGUACUUAGUAGCAGUGUUUUUCUUUAAAACUCGCCGCUGCUAAGUAUCAUCCCCUCUUGCAACUAAUUAUGUUUAGUCCCAUACUGCUAAGCGAACAAGGUGUUUACCACCUUAAAUAUGUUACUUCUCAAACUAUCUCGAGCACUUGGUCUUCAUUGAACUGUAUGUGUAGGAUUUGUGGCUGCAAUAUGAAUCUUCACCUGUGCCUAUACAGGUACGGUGAGGAUUCAUGUUGACUAUUUAGAUUCUACACAAAAAGAUCAAUGAUGACCAAUGUAUAUUUUUGAUGUUUUUAGAUGCUUAGCCUUAGCAGUACCGUUUCUUCAGGACAAAGCGCUACUGAUAUUUGGCUUAGCAGUAGCGCUCUCCCUGUACCCACGCUACUGCUACAGCAAAACAAAACAUGCGGCCCGGCCCCCGCACGCUUAUCUCUCUCAAUCGCCCCCCUCCGCCCGACGCUAGAGCUGCGGUUAGGGUUUCUCCUCCGCCACCGCGCGCCAGCACCACCAUCGCGGCAGGUAAUGCUCCUCCCCCUAUCACCGCCCCUCUGCUAGCUGCUCCUCCACCCUCUCGCUGUCCAUUCUAUCGCCGCCCACGAGCUUUGGCCAGGCGCCUUUGGCCGACUGCCCUCGAUCCCCUCGCCAGCCGCUGUCGUCGCCCCCUCUCAUAGGAAAGUCACCGACCUUCCCCUCGUCAGCACCCCCGACCGAGGUCACCAUGCCAUCCCCCCUCCUCGUCAGCACCCCCCGAGGGUUGCCCUACCUAGAUGCAGCGAGGGCUUACGAAUUUCAUAUGGAUAACUAGAUGGUUUUGUUUUUCUGUAAUAAGUUAUUUUUUGCAAAAUGUAGGUGCCAAUUUAGUUGAAAUGCUUUGGUAGGUGGUACAAGUAUUUAGUUUGCAAGUGCUAAGUUAAUCCCAAUUAAAUUUGCCACUUCUUUUUUUAAUCAGUAUCUUAGGCAAUAGGGGCCAUAUUAGAUGAAAUGUGUCAUGGUAGGUGGUACCUUGAUUUGGUAGAUAACUUAUUAUAGAUCUUAGGAUUAUACCUUUGGUAGGGGCCAAAUAGUUUUUUUGGCAAUAGGUGCCCCUGAAAUUGCUUCUCGCGGAAGAAUCUCUUCAUCUAGAGAUAUUCUAGAAGGUGUUAGUAAGGUAAUUGAGAACUUGUUGUUUGUGAGUCUUGUUGGCUGAUUUGGCAUUGGCCUGCUAGCUGUUGGUUCUAUUGUAGAAGGUGUUAGUAAGUUAAUUGAGAGCUUGUUGUUUACUUUUUGGGAUCGGGUUCCAUUAUGAAAAUAUAACUGAAGAAGAACCAAAAAUAUCACAUGAUACUGUUUCUCUUUCCUGUGAAGUGGAUCGUUAAUCCUUUGCUCAUAUUGCUUUAGGAAAAUGGCGCCACCACCACCACCAUGUCGAUUGUGCAAGUCAAGGUGCGCCAACAGCCUUGCAACUGGCAAGCUGUUCGGCUUCUACUUCCAGCCAAGUUUCCGUCAUGCAGCGGUAAGAAAUUGGAUGAAAUGUAACAACUAUUUUAUUUUUAGUGUUGGCAUUACUCCCUUGUGUCAUUUUGCUUUUUUACACAGAUUGUCCCAUGCAAUGUGAGGUUAAAAUUCAACAAGCUGGCAGGAGACACUGUGACAUUUGAGGCUCCUGGGGGGGCGUACACUAUGGAGGUCGAGAAAGGACGCAAUAUGUUGCAGAUUGGAGGAGAUGGAUGGGCCCGUAUCCUCGCCCGCAUGCGUCUUACUGGUGGUGAGUUGACCAGCUUCUCCUUCAGAGCAAAAAGACCCAAGCUGGCUGUCAUUUAUCUCAACCUGGUGGAAGAUGAUGAAGAUGACGAAGAUGAUGAAGAUGACGAAGAUGAUGAAGAUAAUGAGGACCCACUCGAUGAAGAUGAUGAGAACCCACUUCAUGAAGCCAUCGUAGCUCAAAGAAUGAGGCUGAGCGAGAAGGAGGUGUGCAACCUAUGGGACAUAAUUCCGCCACGUGAUGACUUUGUCGGGGUGCCAUUUGUGACCCGCCUGACAAGUACCAUGGUCGACCGGCAUGAAAUGGUAUGUUAUACUGACUGUAGUAAUUUGAUGAUAUAUAUAUGCUUUAUUGUUAUACUUACAAAUGCAAAUUAUCCGAUGAUAUGCUUAGUGAAUCCGAUGAUAUGUUUAGUGUAGAGUCCAAUGAUAUGCUUUGUGGAAUCUAGUCGAUGAUAUGCUUUAGUGUAGAAUCUGACCACAUGCUUAUUAGUGUAGAAUCCAAGGAACUAUUAGUAGUGUAGAUAAUCCAUAUAUUCUUAUUAGUAGAAUUCAUGCUUAAUUAGUACAAAUGCGUAGUACUGUGUCUUUUGAUAGUGUAGAAAUCUAUACUUAAUAGAAAUAUAUUUGCAAGAGUCUGUGUGGCUAUUUAUUAAUUGAUAUGUUUUUCUUAUUCAGAAAUUGCCAAAGAACCUAUCUAUGAGUUGUGGUAUCGAGCCUGAUGAAGAAGGCUCAGCUGGACUACGCCUUACCACAAAGGGCUCCGUCACCACCUGUACUUACCACAUGGACACAGACGGUUGCACACACUUAAACUCGGUUGGGUGGAAGAGAUUCCUCGUUGGCAAGAAUCUUCGUGUUGGACAGGCCAUCCUAAUUACUAUCAGGAACACCCACCGCCCAGGCUUGAGGAUGAUGAUCGUUGUUGAUAUCAUCUAGCUAGAACUACAUAUGUGUGUGUGGCUAUAUCAUCUAGAACUACAUUUGAUGAUCAUCGUUGAUAUCAUGUAGAACUACAUAUGAUGAUCAUCGUCGAUAUCAUCUAGAACUAUAUAUGAUGAUCGUCAUCGAUAUCACCUUGUACUGCUUGAGGAUGCAUAUGAUGACCGUUAUUGAGUAAUUUGGAAUGGAGGUGGUACUACCUAGUACCUAUAAUGCUUUAUGAAAUUGAUAUCUAGUAGUACCUAGUAUCUGGAAAUUGCAGCUUAUUGAAACUGAAACUGGGUAGGAAACUGGGUAGGAAGCAGGGAAAAAUGAUGAAACACAUAGCAGUAGCGUGGGGCUAGGAAAGCGCUACAACUAAGUAAUAGUACCAUGUUCUGGAAAAGCGUUGUUGAUAUAGUCAAUAGUAGUAGUGCAGGUGCAAACCGCGCUACUACUAACAGUUAGCUGUAGCGCCUUAUUGGUAGCGCUGCUGCCCGCGCUGCUGAUAGCCUCAAAACCUGUUGGGGAUAUUACUACUGGGCGUAAACCGGCCUAUCUGGGCCGGGUUAACUUCGUCAGUAGUUAAGUAUGUUAAAGCCCAAGAAGACAGAGGAGGGCUCAAGGCCCAUGGUCGGUUCAAGGCCUGUAGCCGUAAACCAGCGUUAGUAGUUAACCUGUAUUGUAAGUUAGGAAUAAGUAGAGACCAGACCGGACACAUCUAUGAGCCGGUAUUGGGACUCCGUAAGCCGACGGGAGUCACCCGUGUAUAUAAGGGGACGACCCGGCGGAGGUUCAAGGACAACAGACAACAACUCGAGACAUAGGCGAAGCUUGUUUGCUCCCUAGUCAUCGAAACCCCAUCAAUUCCAUAACAACUAGACGUAGGCUUUUACCUUCAUCGAAGGGGCCGAACUAGUAUAAACUCUCUUGUGUCCUUGUGUCCGCUUUAACCCCUUCAAGCUAACCCGUCGCGAUGGCUCCAUGACUAAGUCCUUUCUCUAGGACAUCUGCCAUGACAAAACCACGACAGUUGGCGCCCACCGUGGGGCAAUCGCACGAUGGUUUCCGGUUCUUGGAGGGCCGCUUUGAAGGACUCGAGGGCUACGCUGCAGGACGGAUGACUAAGAGUCGUCGCGGCAAGCUCUACAUCAACGAUGCAGGCUGGGGCCCCGAGGCCGGCUCAAUUGAGUACGGGUACCGGGUCCCCUUUGGUAGCAUUCACGUUUUCAUUGGCAAGAUCGGUGAACCGGGCCCUGAGCCGGACAUCUGCACCGACCUCGUCGAGACGGCUCAGCGUGCACGAUCCGCCCGGGUUAAACUGGCCAUGAAGCGUGCCUUCGUGGGAGUCAUCCAUGGAGGAAGUUAUGAGGACGGAUCGGAAUUUCGCGGCACGACCGUCGUUUGUUCUAGUGACGAAUCUUCGACUAGAGAAACUGAAUCUCUUUAUCAGCUACAAGAUGGCCGGAUUGGGAGUUGUUUCGAUGGCGAUAGUAUUCCGGACCCCUCUGAUUUGCCCAACCGGGUUGGAAUAUUCAUGGCCGGAACACAAGCAGCGCUUCAUUCUUCGACAGCUGCGGCAAUGAUCUCCGGUUCAGCAGCGACGGCUGCCGGGGCAGGAGGCCCUGUGCGCCCGCCGGCUUAGGUUCUAUCAGAACUAUUUGAUGUGUUGGCUGUGCUUAUGGCGGAAGUUAAUCUGCCGGAUCAGGACGUUCACAACGCGGAGAUUGCAAAGGUAAAGGAACAGAUCACCCAGGCCAAGGCGGAUCUGGCGGCUGAGGACACUAGGAUGGCUGCAGAGCAGGCCGCUUUAGACGCACAGGCCUACAAGCUUAUGUUGGACCAGAGCGCAUCGCAUGAAGUCAUGAGGAGGAAGCACCGAUCCCGCUUACCUCCGGUUUUGGAGGCCAGAGACCUUUUCAACACUCCAGGACCAAGAGUCGGCAAUCCGCUGGAGGGAAACCGGGCGGAAGCCCCUGGGACCGGUGCACCGGUUCAGCCUCGUCAGAUGGACCCGCCUCGUCAAAACACCGUUGUACCUCAGGCUGCUUUAACACCUCCGGGUCACUACUCCAACCCAAUGGACAAUCUUGUUGCCGCUGCUGCAUGGCUGGAGGCCAUUCCAAUUGAAGGUGACUCGCCGCAGGCAGUACAGACACGACGGGUCAAGGAACUUCUGAGGAUAGCUUUGGCCCAACAGGAAGCGUACUCGUACAUCCGCGACCGGAUCCACUCGACCCCUCGUCCAAGCCGGAGCUAUAGCAGACAUAUGGAUGAACCGGCAGUGUUGAGUAAUGAACGACAUGGGGCACCCCGUGACAACAACCCGGCGGGUGGUUCUGAUGACGCUCAGGGAGUGGUGGACCGGGCCCGCGCGCGUAGGGAGGCCGAGUUAGCCGCACAGCAUCAGGCUCGGCAGCUCACGCCGGUUCGUCCAACCACCUUGACUGAACCUGGUGUCACUUCUAGUUCUUUGGGGGUGCCUUGCCUUAUCCUCGCUUUACGCAACAUGCGCCUUCCCAAGGAUUUCAACGGCCCGCGCAAGUUACCAAAUUACACGGCGGAUCAACCUCCAGAGAUAUGGGUGGAGAGCUAUGAGAUGGCCAUGGAGAUGCUUGAUGUGGAUGACGCGGCGUGUGUGAAAUACUUCACCAUGAUGCUCGAAGGAACGGCCCGUACUUGGUUAAAAAGCUUGCCGGCUAAUUCUAUCAGUUCAUGGGCCCAAUUACGAGCCCGGUUUAUCAGCAAUUUCAAAGAUACCUGUAAACAGCCUAUGUCGAUAGUGGACUUAGCUGCAUGCGUCCAGGAGGAAGGAGAAUCAACGACUCAUUGGGUGUGCCGGGUUUCACACGUGUUGCACUCCUCAGACCGCAUCAACGCUGACACCGCAGUAUUAACCCUAGAAGGCAACUGCCAGUUUGGACCCCUGAAGCUGAAGUUGGGACGGAUGAAGCGUCAUUGCACCGACAUGGGGACCCUCAUGGCCUCUUUGGUGAAAUAUGCUGAUUCUGAUAGUACCAAGGAUCCCGAAUAUGAUGAUAAUAAGACAGGGAAAGGGAAGAAGAACAGCAGCUCCAAAGGUCAACAGCAUCACUGGGCAGGCAAUGGUGGAGGAGGCAAGCAUAAAGCGGAUGGUAACAUGGACUUUGUGGCUAAUACCAACGCACAGGACAAUGGCCAGCGACGCAAGGGUAGGCCGAAAAAUCGUAAUGGAGCGCCCAACCCUAACUCAAACCGCCUAAAUUAUCUGCUAAGCCAGCCCUGUCCAAGACAUGGGACGAAGGAGGCGCCGGCAAACCACCUUUGGAAAGAUUGCUUUAUUAUGCAGGAGUUCAAGAAUUCUAAUAAUUUCCGGUAUGAUCACGAAUCUGGCGGUGGCUCGGGAUCCGGGCCGGGUUACGGUGGAGGAAGUUCCGGUUCAGGAUUCAAUGGUAAUCCGGGCGGACAUAAUGGUCAGAAUAGUCAGAACAACCAGGGUGGUUACAACCAACAGCAGCAACAGUCAGGUUACCAGAGCAACCCAAAGCAGUUGAGUAAUGGGCAGUACCAUGUCUUCACCACUAGCUUGGACAAGCGAGACCGGAAAGUUCAGAGGCGGGCGGUCAACUCUGUUGAACCGGCCAUACCCCGUUAUCUACGUUGGUCUGAACAACCAAUCAUAUGGAGCAGAGAAGAUUACCCUCCCCAGGUUGAUAAUCCGGGUCAGUUGGCUCUGGUGGUGGCGCCUCAGGUGGGAGGUUACAAGUUCAUCAAGGUGCUCAUAGAUGGAGGGAGCAGCAUUAACAUCCUGUACUAUGAGACCUUCCGUCGUAUGGGACUAACAGAUAAGAAUCUCAAACCGUCUAAUACAGUAUUCCAUGGUGUAGUGCCUGGCAGAUCAGCAUAUCCUGUUGGUAAGAUACCUCUGGAAGUGGCCUUUGGGGAUGAUCAUGAUUCCAGGUCGGAGACAUUGACGUUUGAAGUGGUGAAAAUCCAAAGUCCAUAUCAUGCCCUGUUUGGGCGACCGGCCUACGCCAAGUUUAUGGCUCGGCCCUGUUAUGUGUAUUUGUAGCUCAAGAUGUGGGGUCACAAGGGGACAAUAACGGUUCACGGAAGCCGCAAAAUCGCUUUGGAAUGCGAGGAAGGAGAUGCGUCUUAUGCAGAGUUGGUUUGUGCCACCGAGGAGUUGAAGUACUAUAAAGACAAUGUUGAUCUGACGGACAUGACUCCGUUGAAGAAGCCAACUACGGAGCAUGAUCCGGCCCUGAAGUUCAAAUCGGCAGCAGAAAUUAAGCUUGUUGACUUCGUACCUGGUGAUUCGUCCAAGCAGUUCAGCAUCAGUGCCAACUUGGAUCCGAAAUAGGAAAGCGCGCUCAUCAAGUUCAUCCGUGAGAAUUGGGACAUUUUUGCAUGGAAGCCCUCUGACAUGCCAGGUGUACCGAGGCAACUCACUGAGCACACACUUAAUGUGGAUCCUAAAUAUAAACUGGUGAAACAGUUCCUCCGCCGGUUUAACAAAGAAAGACGCAAGGCAAUUGGAGAAGAGGUAGCCAGGCUCUUAGCAUCUAGCUUUAUUGUUGAAGUUUUUCACACUGAGUGGCUUGCCAAUCCGGUGCUGGUCCUCAAGAAAAUGGCACCUGGCGCAUGUGUGUGGAUUACACAGAUCUUAAUAAGGCUUGUCCAGCAAAUCCUUUUGCCCUCCCCCGUAUUGAUCAAAUUAUUGAUGCUACGGCGGGCUGUGAGCGUUUAAGUUUUUUGGAUGCGUAUUCUGGCUAUCAUCAGAUCAAAAUGGCAGUUAAGGACCAGGAGAAGACGGCAUUUAUAACUCCCUUUGGAGCCUUCUGCUAUGUGUCUAUGCCCUUCGGGCUCAAGAGUACCCAAGCAACUUACCAAUGGUGUGUACAAAAUUGUCUUCACAAGCAGAUUGGCCGUAAUGUACAUGCUUACGUGGAUGAUAUCGUGGUUAAGUCCAGGGAGAAGGAGACUCUGAUUGAUGAUUUGAAGGAAACCUUUGAUAACCUGAGAACAUACAAGAUGAUGCUUAAUCCGGACAAGUGUGUCUUUGGUGUACCGGCGGGCAAGUUAUUAGGCUUCUUGGUGUCCAAUAGGGGAAUUGAGGCUAAUCCGGAGAAGAUCACAGCCAUCACCUCCCUCACUAAACUGAAGUGUAUCAAUGAUGUUCAGCGCCUGGCAGGCCGAAUUGCUGCGUUAAGCCGGUUUAUCAGUCGCCUCGGUGAGAAGGCAAUCCCUUUGUAUCAGAUGUUGAAGAAGGCGGAUCAGUUUGUCUAGAGUUCUGCUCCUGAUGAAGCAUUUGAGGACUUAAAACGACAAUUGGCCAAUCCGCCUGUGCUCGCCGCUCCCAUUGACAAGGAGCCUUUGCUGCUAUAUGUUGCUGCUAAUGCUCGGGCGGUCGGCGUGGCUAUUGUGGUAGAGCGAAAGGAGGCAGGUAAGGAGCAUCCGGUUCAAUGUCCGGUCUAUUAUAUCAGCGAGGUGCUCAUUGAGUCCAAGAAAAGGUAUCCGCAUUGGCAGAAGCUGGUGUAUGGAGUUUUUAUGGCAAGCUGGAAGCUUAAACAAUACUUCCAAGGGCAUCCAAUUACAGUGGUCAGUUCUGCUCCUUUGGGAGAUAUCAUCCAGAACCAGGAAGCAACUGGCCGGAUUGCAAAGUGGGCUAUAGAGCUGGGGCCGUACGGUUUGAAGUAUGUGCCUCGGACAGCGGUUAAGUCUCAAGCACUUGUUGAUUUCAUCAAUGAUUGGACGGAAAUGCAAGCACCUAAAGAAAGGCCGGAUCAUACAUAUUGGACCAUCCAUUUUGACGGAUCCAGGCAAUUGGAAGGCUCGGGGGCUGGAGUCGUAUUAACUUCCCCACGAGGUGAUAAGUUUUGUUAUGUUCUCCGCUUAAUGUUCCCUUGUACUAACAAUGCAGCUGAGUAUGAAGCCUUGCUCCAUGGUCUCCGGAUGGCUAAGGAGAUGAAUCUAAGUCGAGUUAAGUGCUUCGGUGACUCGGACCUUGUGGCUCAGCAGGUGUCUGGCACUUGGGACUCCAAGGACCCACUCAUGGCAGCAUAUCGUCGUGAGGUAGGUAUUGUUGCAGGUUAUUUCAGAGGCUAUCAGGUGGACCACGUGGACCAGCAGAAAAAUGAAGCGGCGGACGCUUUAAGCCGGCUGGGCUCUCAGCGCAAACCGGUCCCGCCCAAUGUUUUUCUGGAUGUGCUGCACAACCCGUCGGUCAAGAUCCCUGGUGAAGAGGAUUUGGCUAUUCCUGAUCCGGAGGCUCAAUUGGUGGCAGCUCUUCAUGUUAUUCCGGAUUGGACGCUUCCUUACCUGGCGUACAAGAACCAGGGCGAGUUGCCAGAGGAUGAGAUUCUGGCCUAGCAGAUAAUCUGGCAAUCCAAGCCCAUGGCUGUCAUCAACGGCGAGUUGCAUCAUUGCAGUAUAUCAGGAGCUUUUCAAUGCUGCGUGUCUCCUGAAGAAGGCCGUGAAAUUUUGCGUGAGAUCCACGAAGGAGAUUGUGGUCACCACGCCGGUUCAAAGUCUUUGGUGGCUAAAGCGUUUCGCCAUGGCUUCUAUUGGUUGAUUGCUCAUGCUGAUGCGGAGGAUCUGGUCAGACGAUGUGAUGGUUGCCAAAGGUUUUCAAGACGUGCUCAUGUACCAGCUCAAGAAUUGAGAAUGAUUCCAAUUACUUGGCCGUUUGCGACUUGGGGGCUGGAUAUGCUUGGGCCUUUCAAAAGGUCCAAAGAUAAGAAGACCCACCUCCUGGUGGCGGUUGAUAAGUUUACAAAGUGGGUGGAGGCAGAACCUGUUAGCAAGCGUGAUGCGGCCACGGCGGUUCAGUUCAUCAAAAAGGUGAUUUUCCGGUUUGGUUUUCCACACAGUAUUAUCACAGAUAAUGGUACCAAUUUGUCCAAAGGUGCUAUGAAGGAGUUUUGCGAACGGGAGCACAUCCGGCUCGACGUUUCAUCAGUGGCACAUCCACGGUCCAAUGGUCAAGCAGAAAGAGCUAAUCAAGAGAUCUUGAGAGGCAUCAAGCCCCGGCUCAUGGUUCCUUUGCAGAGAACGCCGGGUUGUUGGGUAGAAGAAUUACCAUCUGUGUUAUGGAGCAUCAAUACAACACCCAACAGAUCAACAGGAUACACACCGUUCUUCAUGGUUUAUGGAGCGGAGGCGGUUCUCCCUAGUGAUAUCCGUCAUGAUUCACCUCGUGUAACGGCUUAUGUUGAAGCGGACAACGAGACAGCACGGCAAGAUGCUUUGGACCGGUUGGAUGAAGAGCGUGACAUCGCAGCCGCCCGAUCGGCGAUUUACCAGCAGGAUCUUCGUCGUUAUCACAGUCGCCGGGUCAAAACCAGAACCUUUCAGGAGGGAGAUUUGGUGCUUCGGCUCAUCCAAGAUCAGACUGAUAUGCAUAAGUUAUCCCCACCUUGGGAGGGGCCUUUCGUGGUCAGCAAGAAUCUGCACAACGGGUCAUACUAUCUGAUUGAUAUUCGAGAACAUAAGGACUCACGUACAUCAGAGGAGGAGACCAACAGGCCGUGGAACAUAGCUCAUCUUCGGCCUUAUUAUACCUGAUCCAUUGGUUCUACUUAUGUACAUAUUACAAUGAUGUAUAUUAACUAUAAUAAACUGGAACCUCAGCUCAAGCGGGGUAUCUGUUCUUUUGCAUCAUGGGUGGUUAUACGGAGUUGUUCUAAAGCGGCUUCCGGUUUACCCCUUGAGUUCGCUUUGCUAAAAGCAUCGUAUUAUAUCACUUGGAGGAUUGGUCGUGUCCGAACCAAUACCAUGCCUCUUGAUAGGCGAGAGCCACCAGAUCACUUGGGGACUUGGUCAUGUCUGAACCAGUCAUGCCUCUUGAUCGGCCUAAGGCCAUAGAAUCACUUGGUGGCUUGGUCGAACCCGAACCAUGACCAUGCCAUUUGGUCGGCAUAAAUGCCACGGUUUCAUUUGGGGACCUGGCUGACUAGAACCAUAGUUACACCUAAUGGGAGCUUGGUCGUGUUUGGCCAUGGUAACGCCAUUUGAUCAGCUUAAAUAAACCUUUUUUGGCAAACGGUUUUGUCAUUGCUUUGCUUCACACUUUUCUUUGAAGGUUUUUUUUUUUGCUUUUUAUUGCGUUUUUUAAACCGACAAAGUUUUUUAACCAAUCAAUUGACGGAACACAGUUCACGUUAAUCCGGACACUAUUUUCCCGGUUUGAUCCUUGUUGUUAACAUCCUCUUAUGGAGUAACACGGUGUUUAUUAUAACCCGGCACGGUUUACAUGGUAAACCAACGUCAUAUAUAUAUACAGGAGCUAUUAUCUCCUCCAACAGUGUGGGUUUGCAAAACUCCGCUUCAAGAUUGGCCAAGCCAACUUCACACUCAACGAUGGCAGGUAUUCUGUAUCUCAAAAUUUUGAUCAUAUACUUAGAAUUUUGUUUUGGAUGUUUUGAUUUCAUAUAUACAGACAUCAUAUUCCGCCUGACGGUACAACCGCGGUGGCACUUGACGAAUUUCUCAUUUCAGAAAGUGUUUUGGAAAGUUCAUUACCACAGGAAGAACAAAUUAUGCACGAAGGCAUAUCAACAUCAAAGGUAUCAGCUAGCCUAUUACAAGGCAACAUGGUGCCCAUAAUAAUAUCAUUGUUUUUCGCAAAGGAGAGGCACUUUUAAAACCGGCUUUCGGUUCAAGCUUGGUCACCAGCCUGGCCUGAUGGUUGUGGGUCAUCUUGCACCGCUUCAGCCUCCGUUUCUCUACCCAGUGGCUGGAAAUCCACAGUUGUCCAGUCGAUUCCCAUUAAUGCUUGAAAAACAGCUUCAUCAUGGAUCAGCAAUGACGGGUCAAUAUCGGGAGCGUAAGUAUGCUUACGGAUUGGAGGGAUCAGAUUUUCUGAUUCAUGGAUUGGUGCAGCUAUUCGCUUGUUCUGACUGUCAUAUUGCGCUUGAUAAUGAGACAAGUCUGCUUCCUCAGCCAACUAACAAGCUACCGGACGUACCUCCCGGUUUAUUGCUCGCAGAUCCGCUUCACCAAAUUCUGACCCGUCUUCCUUCAAGCUAGGAUAGCCCUGAGCCGCCUCAAUAGGAUCAAAAUCCGGCACCCAGGCUUUUCCCCGGAUUAAGGCAUUGAUUGCACCGGUUCGAGCAGCAGAUUUCUUCAGCUCUUCAACCCGGGCAGGAAGCACUGACAGUUUCAUCAGAGUAUCUUGAAUCAAAGUGGGCGCCGGUUUGUUAUGAGAUGCAGUACAGAUGAUCCGUUGGGCACCAGUAUACAAUUGUUCAAGCAAUGUAUAGGCGGCUUUCAAUUUCUUCCACACAUCUGACCCCAAGUGACCAAUGCGUGUCCCUGAAAUACCAUAAAGGGUUAAUAAACCGGCGACUCUGUAAGAAGGCAGAGCCAAUUCAGAAGGCAAGCUGGCUUACCAAAGAUAGCAGUGGUCAUGGCAUGCAUGUGCCGCUUUAUGCUGGUCAGUUCAUCCACCACUGGUUUUAGUGCAGCCUCGGCAUCCUCUGCUCGUUUGAUCAAAGCGGACUUUUCAGUGGCCCAAUCCGCCCGUUUCUUCUUGGAGUUCUCCUUAAGUUGUUCCAUGGCGCUUAAAGCGCUGGCCAAUUCCUCUUUUGCUUUGGAGGUUUCAGCCUGUUGGGUUUUCAGGUUUUCUUGGAGAUUGGUGACUUGGUUUUCUUUCGUCUUCAGGUCCGCCUGCAUGCAUACAGAUAUAUGCUUCAACAAAUCGGUAUAAGGAUUCAAGUACCAACCACAUAACAAGUUAUGCACUUAGCACUUGGGGGCUAAUGCAUAUUCGAUCUUCAUCUUUCAAUUGUUUACAAAGUCCCAAGAUCAAUACAAGUAUUCAACUUGGCACUUGGGGGCUAAUGGCUAUUUGCUCAUAUAUAUUCUGAUGCGGCAGUUUCAAUUACUUAAAGUACCGGUUUAACUACGCUAAGUUGAACCGGCCCUUGGGGGCUACAUCAGCGAAUUUCAAAGCAUGAAGAUUUAUAAAGUCCCGGUUUGAAAGAAUAUUACAAACCGGCCCUUGGGGGCUAGGAGAGUCAGCAAGAAUAGAAGCAUACAAGCAGGAAGGAGCAUAUGGAAGUUACCUCAUAUUUAUCUUUCAUCAUAUUUACCAGACCGGCUUCAUAGUCGCGACUGGUAUACAGCCGGUUAAGAUAGCCGGAAUGGAUAUCUUGGGCGUUCAGAGCAGCGUAAGUCGUCAGAUCAGCAUUCCACUUGCCUUUGCCAAAGGCAGCAAAUUCUUCCUUGGCAGAAUGUUUGGAUAAAGCGACAGGAUUGCUUGGCUCAGUAUGGCCAGUGCCAGUAAUGACAACCUCAUCAUCCUUGGUACCGCCGGUUUGCACUGGAGCUGUUGGCUUGUCAGUAGGUUUUGCUGGACCGGUGGAGCUUUCAAUCCGGAUGGAACCUGUGGGCUGAUUGACAGGACCUGAGGUAUCAGCAGGUCUCUCUUCAGCAAUAGGAUCAUCAUCUUGCUGCGGUGGAUCGUUGGGAAUAUCCUCAGGAAUAGCCGCUUCAACAUUGGGUGUCUUGCCUGCUUCAAGAACGACAUCUUCUUCGGCCGCUUUGUCCAGACGGGCCUUCUUGCUUGGCCUAGGUUUGGCCCUGAGAAGAAUAAUAAAAUCAAAUACAGCAUAUGUUCUAAGGCGAUGUACUGCAAACAUCACAAGAAGUAUAGCUUACCCAAGCACCGUUUUAAGCGGUGGGAGCUGAGUAGCCGAUGACUCGCCAGAAGAUGAGUGGGAAGUAACCUGGUAAUCGGAGUCAGACAAUUAAGAGGUUGACGAAAGCAGCCCGCUUUAGAACAAGCACUGACAAGCAAAUUAGAGACCUCUGAAUGGCGUUUCCGAACUGGACUAUUCGGUAAACCGGCGGAGGUAACUACCUGGCCGCUGUGCCGGGUUGUGCGACGAGCUUCGUGUUGUUGGGUCUUCAUAAGAAAUUUAGGAUCCAAAUAAGCAAGAGGAUGAGAAAAUUUAACUUUCUGGAUUGCCUGACGGAUUUUUUGUGAAGGCAAAGUUUCUGAAUUGGAAGAGAGAAUAACUACCUCUGCAACAUCCGCGUGGCUGGCUUCGGCAUCAUCCUGACAAAUAUCAUCAUCAAUAAGACGCAUGAAAAAUAAACCAAGUGAGUCAAGCUCUACCUCAAAGUCCGGAUUAUCCACAUCAUCAUCAGGGGCCAGAUUAGAAGAUGCAGUGGUUCUUUUCCUGUGGGCAGUCUUCUUCACAGCUUUAGUCUUUUGCCGAGUUGCUCUUUCCGGUUUAUCUGUCUUUUCUGGUUUCCCCUGCGGCAGUUUUUUGCUCCAAAACGGAUCAUUGCCCUGAUUACGCAGACACUGAUAUUAAACAAUGACCAGACAUAUCAAUAACAGAUUCAGCAAAGAGAAAAAUCAAAGUCUUACAGCUGGCGGUUUGUUGGUGACGCAGAAGGGAAGCAGGCCGGUUCUAGCGCAGAUGUGUUCCGGUUCAUUGAGCAUCUUAUUCAUAGCCUUUGUGAUUUCUUCAUCGGAGAGCUGGAUUUUUGAAUGUCGCGGUGGGUCAUCAACACUGUCAGUAUACUCGCACAUCAAACCGGAGCGCCGACUAAGGGGCAGUAUGCUCCAUGAUAUCCAACAGCGAGCGAGAUCAACCCCUGUUAAACCGUUGGCCAUAAAGGCUUUGAGCUUUGACAGUUGGGGAGCACAUUUGCUUCUCUCCUGGGCAGUCAAUCUCUGAGGAAAAGGGUGUGUAUUGCUAAGACGCUCCGGACGAAAGCCAGGCAAGGGAUUCUCACCAGCAGGGGAGGUGUCUUUGCAGUAGAACCAUGUCGGAUUCCACUCCUUGGGGUGACUAUGCAGCUUGGCGUGAGGGUAUGUGACCUCUUUCCUUUUCUGAAUUGCCAUGCCACCCAACUCCGUAUUAGAGCCAUCAGUAAACUCGGUAUGGCGGUUUAGAUGGAAAAGAUCUCUGAACAAUUCCACUGUGGGCUCCUCUUGAAAGAACACCUCACAGAGCACUUGGAAGUGACACAUAUUUGUAACAGAGUUGGGGCCAGUGUCUUGUGGAUGGAGUUGGAAAUCGGCUAAAACAUCCCGGUAAAAUUUAGAACCGGGCGGCUUAAAGCCCCGGGAUAAGUGAUCUCCUUCUCGAGGUGUGGGAGGGCAUUCUUUGCCAGGAGCCCUCCAAUGGAUGGUAUCUUUGUUGCCUAAAGCGCCAAUCAGGACUAAAUCGUCCAGUUGAUCUUCUGUGACGCGAGAAGGAACCCAAUUGCACUCAUAUACUUGCUUGGCCAUGAUGGAAUCUACAAGGUAGAAGAUUCUGGUUCAAAAAUGCAUUUGAUCAAGGUACGUUGGUAUGUGCACUGUUAAACCGGAGACAGAACUAUCUGAACCGGAGUUUCAUGAAGCAACCAACAUAUGGCGGUUCAACAAGGGGACUAAUGGCAUAUACCGGUUUGGAAAAUUUUCUAUAAGGUUAAACCACCUGAUCUAAGCAUUAAAAAGCUGAGAUUGCGGAUGGACAAGUACACAGAAACAGGUUUCACAAGAUUUCUUUACAGCAUUGGAUCUGAAGCAAGUUCAGAAAAAAGAUAAAUACUUAGAGGUUCAAAGGAGCAGUAACGAACCAAUGAGCAAAACAUUCAUAUAGAUCUAUGGUUUGAGAUGCAUAAGUGAAGGUGAAGGUCAAACAACUAUCAUUGCACAGAGUAAAGAUUUGCGGAUUCAUCUAAAGAUCUAACGUAUAAGCAAGAGGCAGACGAUGAACACUGAAGAACUACGAAACCCUAGGCCAGAUCUGCGGGGGAAAGGAUAGAAGAUUUACCGGAGCUAAGGAAGAUGCGGAAGGUUGCCGCGAUGUUCUGGUGCGCUCAGGUUGAUGCAGCGGCCAAGGAUGAGGCAGAGGUCGACGGCGGCGGCGGAGCUCCGAGGUUGGUGACGCGAGGAAGACGAAGAAGGCACGGAAGGAGAAAAGAAAUGACCCUUCGGUCCUAUUUAUAAUGCGAAAGAACAUGAGUCAGGCGCGACAAUCAAGGGGCCACAAAACGGAGUUGUCGCCUCGAUUUCCGCCGAUCUAUUAAACAAAGAAGCAUAAUGGAUAGCUUCGUUAUGACAGGUGACGUCGCUCCAGUUUACAGCAAUCAGAGAAGAUGACAUCAUGCCGGUUUACCAAUUUAUAAGAAGACAUUGAAGGUGAAGCUUUUAUUAAAGGAUUGACAUGAACUCGUUCAAAUCAAUCUGGGGCCUAAUGUUGGGGAUAUUACUACUGGGCGUAAACCGGCCUAUCUGGGCCGGGUUAACUUCGUCAGUAGUUAAGUAUGUUAAAGCCCAAGAAGACAGAGGAGGGCUCAAGGCCCAUGGUCGGUUCAAGGCCUGUAGCCGUAAACCGGCGUUAGUAGUUAACCUGUAUUGUAAGUUAGGAAUAAGUAGAGACCAAACCGGACACAUCUAUGAGCCGGUAUUGGGACUCCGUAAGCCGACGGGAGUCACCCGUGUAUAUAAGGGGACGACCCGGCGGCGGUUCAAGGACAAUAGAUAACAACUCGAGACAUAGGCGAAGCUUGUUUGCUCCCUAGUCAUCGAAACCCCAUCAAUUCCAUAACAACUAGACGUAGGCUUUUACCUUCAUCGAAGGGGCCGAACUAGUAUAAACUCUCUUGCGUCCUUGUGUCCGCUUUAACCCCUUCAAGCUAACCCGUCGCGAUGGCUCCACGACUAAGUCCUUUCUCUAGGACAUCUGCCGUGACAAAACCACGACAAAACCCGCGCUACUACUAGGGUUUUCCCUAGUAGUGGAAUGACCUACGGUUUAUCAAUCAGUGGGAGGUGUAGGAUGAAGAUGGUCCCUCAAACAACUCUGCAAUCAAAACAAGAAGUCUCUUGUGUCCCCAACACACCCAAUACAUUUUUCAAUUGUAUAGGUGCACUAGUUCGGCGAAGAGAUGGUGAUACAAGUGUAAUACGGAUGGUAGAAAUAUGUUUUUAUAAUCUGAAAAAUUAAAAACAGCAAGGUAAUAAGUAGCAAACAGCAAGCAAAAUGGUAUAUCAGUGCUUAGAAACAAGGCAUAUGGUUCAUACUUUCACUAGUGCAAUCUCUCAACAGUGCUAACAUAAUUGAAUAGUAUAACAAUCCCUCAAUGUGCGACAAAAAAUCACUCCAAAGUUCCUAUCAAUAGUGGAGAACAUAAGAUGAAAUUGUUGUAGGUAUCAAACAACCUUAGAGAUCAUACUACAAUAACACCAUAUGAUACGCAUCAAUCAACUCUAAUGUCAUCUAGAUACUCCAAUGUCACCACAAGUAUACGUGAAUUAAUUAUUCGAUAUGCGUCAAACAAUUUCAUAUUCAUAAUAUUCAAUCUAACACAAAGAACUUCAAAGAUUAGACCAAAGUUUCUAUCGAAGAAAGUAGGAUGAAAAUGUGUAUCAACCUAUGUGCCUAGAUUACCCCGAUGUCACAUCGAGAAUCCGCAAGUUGACUACCAAAAUAUACAUCAAGUGACUCAAUAGAAUACCCCAUUGUCACCGGAUUACCCCAAUGUCAAUCGGGAUGAUGAAGUGACUCAAUACCUAUGUGCUUCAGUAUAGAGGCUUGCGGCGGUGGCAUAAAAGUUCUAAGUCUCUUUCUGGAUUUAUAGGAUUUUUCAGUAUUGGAAUCACGCCAAUCGGAGUUACGAGGGGCCCACAAGCUCGGACAGCACUCCCUAACCCCUAGGGCGCGCGAGGUGAGCUUGUGGCCGCUUCGUGGGUCUUCUGGUCCUUCUUCGAAGCUUUGGGGUGUCUUAUGUUCCAAAAAAAUCACCGUAAAUUUUCAUGGCAUUUGGACUUCAUUUGGUAUGGGUUUUCUGGAAAACCAAAAACAUGUAGAAAGCAGCAACUCGAUUGGGCACUAAUUAAUAGGUUAGUACAAAAAAAUCAUAUAAAAUUGCACCAAAACCAUAUAAAAUUAUUGUAAAUAUGGCAUGAAUACUUCAUAAAUCAUAGAUACGUUUGAGACGCAUCACAUCUCUCUUUUUGUCUUUCUUCUUACCCUUCUUAUUGAAGGUAGUAUUCUGUUGGAUAGUGUUCUUUCCCUUGAACUUGUGGAAAUUCUUCUGCACCACAAUGGCGCUAGAAGAACCCUCUGCCCCUUCCACAUGUGAGUCAUUUGCUCUCGGGUUUUUCUCAACACUUAGAUGGCCGAUGACAUCCUCAACAGAGAAUUCACGUCUCAAGUGCUUGAGAGAAGUAGCAAAGUUCCUCCAUCCAGGAGAGAGUUUUGCAAUAAUGCAACCCACAACAAACUUGUCCGGUAACUCACACUUCAGGAGCUCCAGCUCCUUAGCGAUGCACUUUAUCUCAUGAGCCUAGUCCAGAACAAGACGGUUAUCAGCCAUCCUGUAAUCAUGGAACUGCUCCAUAGCAUACAGUUCGCUUCCAGCAUCGGUUGCGCUGAACCUAGAUUUGAGCGCAUCCCAUAAGUUUUUGGCAACGCGCAUAUGGAGAUAUGCGUCAACCAACUUGUCUCUGAUCAUAGUAAGAACAGCUCCCACAAAGAGAGUUGGUCGUCUCCCUAAACGCCUUCUCAUGUUCAGGAGCAAUCAUACCUGCGGGAUCCAUAGCACCGACCCAGGACACGUUCACAGUUGUGAGCCACAAGGUAGUCCUCGUCUGCCAAAGCUUUAAAUGAUUUCUAGUAAACUUCUCCGAUUUCAGUGUAGCGGCGAAACCUUGAAUUGAAAAUUGCCUAAAAUUAGGUUUCGGGCUUGUUGGAAAUGUCAACACAUUUUUGAUUAAUCUAAUGCAUGAGUAAAUAGUAAGUAUGACAAUCACAGUAUGCAACUCAUACUGAUACCUAAGCAUCUGAGCACGUACAAUACAUAGAAUCGAAACAUCUAUGAACACGGCAUAUACGGAUAGCACAUGAACGAGUAAAUGAGGGAUGAGCAUAUCAUACCCUUGAUAACCCACAAGUAUAGGGGAUCGCAACAGUUUUCGGUAAGUAAGAGCGUCGAACCCAAUGAGGAGCUAAAGGCAGAACAAAUAUUCCCUCAAGUUCUAUCGACCACCGAUACAACUCUACGCAUGCUUGACGUUCGCUUUACCUAGAACAAGUAUGAAACUAGAAGUAUUUUGUAGGUGUUGUUGGAUAGGUUUGCAAGAUAAUAAAGAGCACGUAAAUAAAAAGUGGGGGUUGUUUAGAUAAAGACACAACUAAAUUAGUUUUAGUAGAGAGCUUUUUGUCACGAUAAAGUUAUUUGUCCCUAGGCAAUCGAUAACUAGACCGGUAAUCAUUAUUGCAAUUUUAUAUGAGGGGGAGGCAUAAGCUAACAUACUUUCUCUACUUGGAUCAUAUGCACUUAUGAUUGGAACUCUAGCAAGCAUCCGCAACUACUAAAGAUCAUUAAGGUAAAACCCAACCAUAGCAUUAAAGUAUCAAGUCCUCUUUAUCCCAUACGCAAACAACCUACUUACUCAGGUAUGUGUUUCUAUCACUCACGCCACCCACCAUAAGCAAAUCAUGAACAUGUUGGAAACCCUACAGCGGAAAUCCCUCACGCUUGUGCGACACGGAGAGCACCAUAGGACAGCACCAAUAAUAAAACAUGCAACUCAAGCCAAUCACGAUCAUCAAAUAACCCAUAGGACAAAACGGAUCUACUCAAACAUCAUAGGAUAGACAUACAUCAUUGGGAAAUAAUAUAUAGCGUUGAGCACCAUGUUUAAGUAGAGAUUACAGCGGGUAAGAGAGGGGUUACACCGCUGCAUAGAGGGUGGAAGAGUUGGUGAUGAUGGCGGUGAAGUUGUUGGUGAAGAUUGCGGUGAUGAUGAUGGCCCCCGGUGGCACUUCGGUGCCACCGGAAGCGAGGGGGGGAGAGCCCCCCCCUUAUUCUUAUUCUUCCUUGGCCUUCUCCCUAGAUGGGAGAAGGGUUUCCUCUCUGGUCCAUGACCUCCAUGGCAUGGGAGGGAGAGAGCCCCUCCGAGAUUGGAUCUGUCUCUUUGUCUCUCUCUGUUUCUGCGUUCUCAGAUUCUGCCCUUUCACCGUUUCUUAUAUUCCCGGAGAUCCGUAACUCCGAUUGGGCUGAAAUUUUAACACAAUUUCUAUCCGGAUAUUAGCUUUCUUGCGGUGAAAGAAGGGCAUCAACCACCUUACGGGGUGGCCACUAGGGUCAAGGGCGCGCCCCCCUGCCUCAUGGCCCCCUCGGACAUCGUCUCGCGUGGAUUUUUCUUCCCAAAAAUCACAUAUAUUCCAAAAAAAAUCUCCGUCAGUUUUUAUCCCGUUGGACUCCGUUUGAUAUGGAUUUACUGAAAAACAAAAAACAUGCAACAAACAGGAACUGGAUCAAUAUGUCAGUCGCAAAAAUAGUAUAAAAAGUUGCCAAAAGUAUAUGAAAGUUGUAGAAUAUCGGCAUGGAAGAAUCAAAAAUUAUAGAUACGACAGAGACGUAUCAGCAUCCCCAAGCUUAAUUAUUGCUCGUCCUCGAGUAGGUAAAUGACAAAAAAGAUAAUUUUGAUGUGGAAUGCUACCUAGCAUAAUCUUAAUCACAUAUCUAAUCAUGGCAUGAAUAUUAAGAUACGAGUGAUUCAAAGCAAUAGUCUAUCAUUUGACAUAAAAACAAUAAUACUUCAAGCCUACUAAUAAAGCAAUCAUGUCUUUUCAAAAUAACAUGGCCAAAGAAAGUUAUCCCUACAAAAUCAUAUAGUCUGGUUAUGCUCCAUCUUCACCACACAAAAUAUUCAAAUCAUGCACAACCCCGAUGAUAAGCCAAGCAAUUAUUUCAUACUUUUGAUGUUCUCAAACCUUUUCAACUUUCACGCAAUACAUGAGCGUGAGCCAUGGACAUAGCACUAUAGGUGGAAUAGAAUCGUGGUUGUGGAGAAGACAAAAAGGAGAAGAUAGUCUCACAUCAACUAGGCAUAUCAACGGGCUAUGGAGAUGCCCAUCAAUAGAUAUCAAUGUGAGUGAGUAGGGAUUGCCAUGCAACGGAUGCACUAAGAGCCAUAAGUGUAUGAAAGCUCAGACUGAAAACUAAGUGGGUGUGCAUCCAACUUGCUUGCUCAUGAAGACCUCGGGCAUUUGAGGAAGCCCAUCAUCGAAAUAUACAAGCCAAGUUCUAUAAUGAAAAUUCCCACUAGUAUAUGGAAGUGAUAACUCAAGAGACUCUCUGUAUGAAGAACAUGGUGCUACCUUGAAGCACAAGUGUGGUAAAAGGAUAGUAACAUUGCCCCUUCUCUCUUUUUCUCUCAUUUUUUAUUCCUUUUUUGGUGGGCUUCUUUGGCCUCUUUUUUUAUUUGGGCUUCUUUGGCCUCUUUUAUUUAUUUUUAAAGUCCGGAGACUCAUCCCAACUUGUGAGGGAAUCAUAGCUUCCAUCAUCCUUUCCUCACAUGGGACAAUGCUCUAAUAAUGAUGAUCAUCACGCUUUUAUUUACUUACAACUCAAUAUUACAACUCGAAACUAGAACAAAGAUAUGACUCUAUACGAAUGCCUCCGGCGGUGUACUGGGAUGUGUAAUGAUCUAGCGUAGCAAUGACAUCAAAAAACGGACAAGCCAUGAAAACAUCAUGCUAGCUAUCUUACGAUCAUGCAAAGCAAUAUGACAAUAAAUGCUCAAAUCAUGUAUAUGAUGAUGAUGGAAGUUGCAUGGCAAUAUAUCUCGGAAUGGCUAUGGAAAUGCCAUGAUAGGUAGGUAUGGUGGCUGUUUUGAGGAAGGUAUAUGGUGGGUUUAAGGUACCGGCGAAAGUUGCGCCAUACUAGAGAGGCUAGCAAUGGUGGAAGGGUGAGAGUGCGUAUAAUCCAUUGACUCAACAUUGGUCAUAAAGAACUCACAUACUUAUUGCAAAAGUCUAUUAGCUAUCGAAACAAAGUACUACACGCAUGCUCCUAGGGGGAUAGAUUGGUAGGAAAAAACCAUCGCUCGUCCCCGACCGCCACUCAUAAGCAAGACAAUCAAUAAAUAAAUCAUGCUCCGACUUCAUCACAUAACGGUUCACCAUACGUGCAUGGGAAUCACAAACCUCAACACAAGUAUUUCUAAUAAUCCACAACUACCCACUAGCAUGACUCUAAUAUCACCAUCUUUAUAUCUCAAAACUAUUGCAAGGAAUCAAACAUAUCAUAUUCAGUGAUCUACAAGUUUUAUGUAGGAUUUUAUGACUAACCAUGUGAAUGACCAGUUCCUGUCAUCUCUCUAAAUAGAUAUAAGUGAAGCAAGAGAGUUUAAUUCUUUCUACGAAAGAUAUGCCCAUGCUCUAACAAAUAUAAGUGAAGCAAAGAGCAUUCUACAAAUGGCGGUUUUCUAUGUAAAGAGAAACAGGCAAUCCAAACUUCAAAUGAUAUAAGUGAAGCACAUGAAGCAUUCUAUAAAGCCAUACUCAAAAGAUAUAAGUGAAGUGCAAUGAGCAUUCUAUAAAUCAACCAAGGACUAUCUCAUACCAGCAUGGUGCAUAAAAGAAAAAUGAAAACUAAAUGCAAAAGACGCUUCAAGAUUGCACAUAUCGCAUGAACGAAACGAAUCCGAAAACAUAACGAUACUUGUUGAAGAAAGAGGGGAUGCCUUCCGGAGCAUCCCCAAGCUUAGACGCUUGAGUCUCCUUGAAUAUUUACUUGGGGUGCCUCGGGCAUCCCCAAGCUUGAGCUCUUGACUCUCUUCCUUCUUCUCACAUCGAGACCUUCUCGAUCAUCGAACACUUCAUCCACACAAGAACUCAACAGAAAGCUCGGUAAGAUCCGUUAGCAUAAUAAAGCAAAUCACUACUCUAAGUAUUGUUUCAAACCAAUUCAUAUUUUGUUUUUACAUUAUAUCUAUUGUAAUAUAACUUUUACAUGGCUUAAUCCACUGAUAUAAAUCGAUAGUUUCAUCAAAACAAGCAAACUAUGCAUCAAAAACAAAAUCUGUCUAAAAUAGAACAGUCUAUAAUAAUCUGAACAUUCACCAUACCUAUGGUACUCCAAAAAUUCUACCAAAAUUAGGAAAAAUAAAAAAUUGUAUAGAAAGACAGUGCAAAAAGAAUCAGAACCAUUUGACGUUCCAGUAAAAAACGUAAAAUCGCGCACUACAGCCAAAGUUUCUGUCAUGCACCAUACAAACCAACAAGCAAAGUAAACAUCCUAAAGGCAAAUCUUGGCACAUUAUUUUUAUUUUUAAACUUUAUAAAAGCACACAACAGAAAUAAAUGACUCUUAAAACUUCCGGGUUGUCUCCCUGGCAGCGCUUUCUUUAAAUCCAUUAAGCUAGGCAUAUGGUGCUCAAGUAAUGGAUCCACCCGGAUCCCAAGGUAUAUCGAAGCCAAUUUUAAUUAGAAAUGAUUUGGAAUUUAGUAGUGAGCACAAAAUAACGUAUAUCAUGCAACAACGAAGUCUAACUCUCUUCCUAUGCAUCGGCAUGUCAUAAAAGAACAAUUCAUGCACACAUAGUAAAGGCCAAUGCAUAGUAUAAACAGUUUCUUACAAUUUUAUUGUAUUGGAAACAUAGAGAGGUGGAGAUAUAGUUCCUCUCAUAAUAAUUGCAAGUAGGAGCAGCAAACACAUGCAUAUUAUAUUCAUCAAAAUCAUCAUGUGUAAUAGUAAAAUGCAACCCAUCAAUAUAAUCCUUAAUAAGUGCAAACUUCUCCGAUAUAAUGUAGUUGGGAGAAUUCAAAAAGAUAAUAGGACUAUCAUGCGUGGGUGCAAUAGCAACAAUUUCAUGUUUAACAUAAGGAACUAUAGGAAGUUCAUCUCCAUGGGCAUAAUUUAUAUUGGCAUCUUGGCCACAAGCAUAGCAAGCAUCAUCAAAAAGGGAUGUUUCAAGAGAAUCAAAGGGAUCAUAAUAGUCAUCACAGAAAUCAUCCUUCGGUAAGCACGAAGGGAAAUUAAACAAUGUAUGAGUUGAAGAGUUACUCUCAUUAGAAGGUGGGCACGGGUAGCUAAUCCUCUCUUCCUCCUUUUGUUCUUCGCUCUCCUCGUCAUCUUUUUCAUCCAAUGAGCUCACAGUUUCAUCAAUUUCUUCUUCCAUAGACUCCUGCAAAAUAUUAGUCUCUUCUUGGACAGCGGAGUAGUCCUCAAUAUAUGGUUCAACAUAGGCAUUAGAAGCAUAAUUAUCAUAGAAAUAUUUAAGUAUGGCAAAAUUUUCAGAUUUGUAAAGAGUAGCAUCAUACUUUUCAAUCAAAGAAGCAAUUUCGUAAGAACCCUUAGAAGCAACAAAUUCUUCAAUUUGUUGAACAUCAUAGUAAUUAUAAACGCCCUUAUCAUACGAAGAUACGAUUCCAUUAUCACUAAACAAACAUUGGUAGGGAAGGUGUUUCUUAGGGUCUUCAGAACAACAAGUAUAAUCAUAUAUUUCGCAUAAAUUCCAAGCAUAGCAUUGCAAACGAUGAAUUUGAUCCAGUAAACGUUUCCCUUUUUCAGAUAUGCGGUGUCGCACAUAACAAGCAUGCUCAUCUAAAGAUUUGCCCUCAACUAAGCUAGUUGGGGUUUCAGCACGAGCACAUAGGGAUCGAAGAUGAUCCAAGUAAUAAGCUUUAGGAGUGUGAUAGAUUUUGAGUGGUUCUUCAACCAUUGGUUCAGUAGGUACAACUAAUUUUUUUGGUAUUUUGUGUUUCCUACCCAUAACUAAAGAUAGAAAACAACUAAGAACAUCAAAUAAAAAUUGCUUAGUGAUAAAGCAAACAAGCACACACGAAAAUAUUCACCCCGCGCUAUUGCUCCCCGGAAACGGCGCCAGAAAAAGGUCUUGAUAACCCACAAGUAUAGGGGAUCGCAACAGUUUUCGGUAAGUAAGAGUGUCGAACCCAAUGAGGAGCUAAAGGCAGAACAAAUAUUCUCUCAAGUUCUAUCGACCACCGAUACAACUCUACGCAUGCUUGACGUUCGCUUUACCUAGAACAAGUAUGAAACUAGAAGUAUUUUGUAGGUGUUGUUGGAUAGGUUUGUAAGAUAAUAAAGAGCACGUAAAUAAAAAGUGGGGGUUGUUUAGAUAAAGACACAACUAAAUUAGUUUUAGUAGAGAGCUUUUUGUCACGAUAAAGUUAUUUGUCCCUAGGCAAUCGAUAACUAGACCGGUAAUCAUUAUUGCAAUUUUAUAUGAGGGGGAGGCAUAAGCUAACAUACUUUCUCUACUUGGAUCAUAUGCACUUAUGAUUGGAACUCUAGCAAGCAUCCGCAACUACUAAAGAUCAUUAAGGUAAAACCCAACCAUAGCAUUAAAGUAUCAAGUCCUCUUUAUCCCAUACGCAAACAACCUACUUACUCAGGUAUGUGUUUCUAUCACUCACGCCACCCACCAUAAGCAAAUCAUGAACAUGUUGGAAACCCUACAGCGGAAAUCCCUCACGCUUGUGCGACACGGAGAGCACCAUAGGACAGCACCAAUAAUAAAACAUGCAACUCAAGCCAAUCACGAUCAUCAAAUAACCCAUAGGACAAAACGGAUCUACUCAAACAUCAUAGGAUAGACAUACAUCAUUGGGAAAUAAUAUAUAGCGUUGAGCACCAUGUUUAAGUAGAGAUUACAGCGGGUAAGAGAGGGGUUACACCGCUGCAUAGAGGGUGGAAGAGUUGGUGAUGAUGGCGGUGAAGUUGUUGGUGAAGAUUGCGGUGAUGAUGAUGGCCCCCGGUGGCACUUCGGUGCCACCGGAAGCGAGGGGGGGAGAGCCCCCCCCUUAUUCUUAUUCUUCCUUGGCCUUCUCCCUAGAUGGGAGAAGGGUUUCCUCUCUGGUCCAUGACCUCCAUGGCAUGGGAGGGAGAGAGCCCCUCCGAGAUUGGAUCUGUCUCUUUGUCUCUCUCUGUUUCUGCGUUCUCAGAUUCUGCCCUUUCACCGUUUCUUAUAUUCCCAGAGAUCCAUAACUCCGAUUGGGCUGAAAUUUUAACACGAUCUCUAUCCGGAUAUUAGUUUUCUUGCAGCGAAAGAAGGGCAUCAACCGCCUUACGGGCUGGCCACGAGGGUCAGGGGCGCGCCUGCCCCCCGGGGCGCGCCCCCUGCCUCGUGGCCUCCUCGGGCAUUGUCUCGCAUGGAUUUUUCUUCCCAAAAAUCACAUAUAUUCCAAAAAAAUCUCCUUCAGUUUUUAUCCCGUUUAGACUCUGUUUGAUAUGGAUUUACUGUUGGGGAACGUAGCAAUAAUUCAAAAUUUUCCUACGUGUCACCAAGAUCAAUCUAGGAGGUACUAGAAACGAGAGAGAGGGAGUGCAUCUUCAUACCCUUGAAUAUCUCUAAGCGGAAGCGUUCAAGAGAACGGGGUUGAUGGAGUCGUACUCGUCGUGAUACAAAUCACCGAUGAUCCUAGCGCCGAACGGACGGCACCUCCGCGUUCAACACACAUACAGAACGGAGACGUCUCCCACGCCUUAAUCCAGCAAGGAGGAGGGAGUGGUUGAGGAAGAGAGUCCAACAGCAGCACGACGGCGUGGUGGUGAUGGAGUGGCAGUUCUCCGGCAGGGCUUCGCCAAGCUCACGCGGAGGAGGAGAGGUAUUGGAGGGGAGGGGCUGCGCCAGGUGCAAGGGUAUGGCCGCCCUCCCACCCCUCCACUAUUUAUAGGUGGGGAGAGAGGGGGCCGGCCCCCCUAGAUCCCAUCUAGGGUUGGGGGCGGCGGCCAAGGGGGGGAGGAGUGCCUCCCAAGUCAAGUGGAGGCCCUCCCCCUUAGGGUUUCCCCUCUCCCAUGCGCAUGGGCCUUGGGGGGGCUGGUGCCCCUGGCCCAUUAAGGCUAGGGAGCCCCCCUACAGCCCAUGCUGCUGUAUUGGACGUGGUGGAACAUUUUCUGGACCUCCGGACCCCUCCGAAUCCUCCGGAACCUUCCGGAAGCUUCCCGGUACAAUACCGGAAAACCGAACUUUUCCUGGAACCUGAACAAUAACUUUCCAUAUAUAAAUCCUUACCUCCGGAACAUUCCGGAACUCCUUGUGACGUCCGGGAUCUCAUCCGGGACUCCGAACAACAUUCGGUAAUCACAUACAAGUCUUCCUAAUAACCCUAGCGUCAUUGAACCUUAAGUGUGUAGACCCUAUGGGUUCGGGAACCAUGCAGACAUGACUGAGACAUCUCUCUGGUCAAUAACCAACAGCGGGAUCUGGAUACCCAUGUUGGCUCCCACAUGUUCCACGAUGAUCUCAUCGGAUGAACCAUGAUGUCAAGGAUUCAGUCAACCCAUAUACAAUUCCCUUUGUCUAUCGGUACGAUACUUGCCCGAGAUUCGAUCGUCGGUAUCCCGAUACCUAGUUCAAUCUCGUUACUGGCAAGUCUCUUUACUCGUUCCGUAACAUAUCAUCUCGUGAUCAACUCCUUGGUCACAUUGUGCACACUAUGAUGAUGUCCUACCGAGUGGGCCCAGAGAUACCUCUCUAUUACACGGAGUGACAAAUCCUAGUCUCGAUUCGUGCCAACCCAACAGACACUUUCGGAGAUACCCGCAGUGCACCUUUAUAGCCACCCAGUUACGUUGUGACGUUUGGUACACCCAAAGCAUUCCUACGGUAUCCGGGAGUUGCACAAUCUCAUGGUCUAAGGAAAUGAUACUUGACAUUAGAAAAGCUUUAGCAUACGAACUACACGAUCUUGUGCUGGCUUAGGAUUGGGUCUUGUCCAUCACAUCAUUCUCCUAAUGAUGUGAUCCCGUCAUCAACGACAUCCAAUGUCCAUGGUCAGGAAACGUAACCAUCUAUCGAUCAACGAGCUAGUCAACUAGAGGCUUACUAGGGACAUGGUGUUGUCUAUGUAUCCACACAUGUAUCUGAGUUUCCUAUCAAUACAAUUCUAGCAUGGAUAAUAAACGAUUAUCAUGAACAAGGAAAUAUAAUAAUAACUACUUUAUUAUUGCCUCUAGGGCAUAUUUCCAACAGUCUCCCACUUUCACUAGAGUCAAUAAUCUAGUUCACAUCGCUAUGUGAUUAACACUCAAGGUCACAUCCCCAUGUGACUAACACCCGAAGAGAUUACUAGAGUCAAUAAUCUAGUUCACAUUACCAUGUGAUUAACACUCAAUGAGUUCUGGGUUUGAUCAUGUUAUGAUUGUGAGAGAUGUUAUAGUCAACGGGUCUGAAUCUUUCAGAUCCGUGUGUGCUUUACAAAUCUCUAUGUCAUCUUGUAUAUGCAGCUACCACGCUCUAUUUGGAGCUAUUCCAAAUAACUGUUCUACUAUACGAAUCCGGUUUACUACUCAGAAUCAUCCAGAUUAGUGUCAAAGAUUGCAUCAGCGUAACCCUUUACGACGAACUCUUUUACCACCUCCAUAAUCAAGAAAAUUCCUUAGUCCACUAGUUACUAAGGAUAACCUUGACCGUUGUCCUGUGAUCCAUUCCUAGAUCACACUUGUACCCCUUGACUAGCUCAUGGCUUGGCACACUUUAGGUGCGGUACACAACACAGCAUACUUUAGAGCCUACAUCUAAAGCAUAGGGGACGACCUUCGUCCUUUCUCUCUAUUCUGCCGUGGUCAGGUCUUGAGUUUUACUCAAUACCCAUACCUUAUAACACAGCCAAGAACUCCUUCUUUGCUGAUCUAUUUUUGAACUCCUUCAAAAUUUUGUCAUGGUAUGUGUUCGUCCGAAAGUACUAUUAGGCGAUUUUGAUCUAUCCUUAUAGAUCUUGAUGCUCAAUGUUCAAGUAGCUUAAUCCAGGUUUUACAUUGAAAAACACUUUUCAAAUAACCCUAUAUGCUUUCCAGAAACUCUACAUCAUUUUUGAUCAACAAUAGUCAACAACAUAUACUCAUCAGAAAUUCUAUAGUGCUCCCACUCACUUCUUUGGAAAUACAAGUUUCUCAUAAACUUUGUAUAAACCCAAAAUCUUUGAUCAUCUCAUCAAAGCGUACAUUCCAACUCCGAGAUGCUUACUACAGUCCUUAGAAGGAUUGCUGGAGCUUCGCAUACUUGUUAGCAUCUUUUAGGAUUGUCAAAAAAACUUCUGGUUUUAUCACAUACAACCUUUCCUCAAGAAAAACGUCGAGGAAACAAUGUUUUGACAUCCUAUCUGCAAGAUUUCAUCAAUAAUGCAGUAACUGCUAACAUAAUUCCAACAGACUCUUAGCAUCGCUACGAGUGAGAAAGUCUCAUCGUAGUCAACUCCUUUGAACUUGUCGGAAAACAUCUUAACGACAAGUCGAGCUUUCUUAGUGGUGACAUUUACCAUCAUUGUCCAUCUUACUUUUAAAAUCCAUCUGCACCCAACAGCCUUACGACCAUCAAGUAGUUCUUCCAAAGUCUAUACUUUAUUUUUAUACAUGGAUCCUCUCUCGGAUUUUAUGGCCUCGAGCCAUUCGUCGGAAUCCGGGCCCACCAUCGCUUCUCCAUAGCUCGUAGGUUCAUUGUUGUCUAGCAACAUGACUUCCAAGACAGGAUUACGUACCACUCUGAAGUAGUAUGCAUCCUUGUCGACCUAUGAGGUUUGGUAGUGACUUGAUCCGAAGUUUCAUGAUCACUAUCAUAAGCUUCCACUUCAAUCGGUGUAGGUGCCACAGGAACAACUUCAUGUGCCCUGCUCCACAAUAGUUGAAGUGACGGUUCAAUAACCUCAUCAAGUCUCCACCAUCCUCCCACUCAAUUCUUUCGAGAGAAACUUUUCCUCGAGAAAGGACCCGUUUCUAGAAACAAUCACUUUUGCUUCCGGAUCUGAAAUAGGAGGUAUAACCAACUGUUUUGGGUAUUCUAUGAAGAUGCAUUUAUCCGCUUUGGGUUCGAGCUUAUCAGCCUGAAACUUUUUCACAUAAGCAUCGCAGCCCCAAACUUUUAAGAAACGACGGCUUAGGGUUUUUCUAAACCAUAGUUCAUAUGGUGUCGUCUCAACGGAAUUGUGUGGUGCCCUAUUUAUAGUCAGUGCGGUUGUCUCUAAUACCUAACCCAUAAAUGAUAGUGGUAAUUCGAUAAGAGACAUCAUGGUAUGCACCAUAUCCAAUAGGGUGCAGUUGUGAUGUUCGGACACACCAUCACACUAUGGUGGUCCAGGCGAUAUUAGUCGUGAAACAAUUUCCAUAAUGUCUUAACUGUGUGCCAAACUCGUAACUCAGAUAUUCAUCUCUAUGAUCAUAUCAUAGACAUUUUAUCCUCUUGUCACGACAAUCUUCAACUUCACUCUGAAAUUACUUGAACCUUUCAAUAAUUCAGACUUAUAUUUCAUCAAGUAAAUAUACUCAGCAUCUAGUCGAAUCAUCUGUGAAGUAAGAACAUAACGAUAUCCACUGCAUGCCUCAGCACUCAUUGGACUGCACACAUCAAAAUGUAUUACUUCCAACAAGUUGCUUUCUUGUUCCAUCUUACUGAAAACGAGGCCUUUCAGUCAUGUUGCCCAUGUGGUAUGAUUUGCAUGUCUCAAGUGAUUCAAAAUCAAGUGAGUCCAAAUGAUCCAUCUGCAUGGAGUUUCUUCAUGCAUAUCUACCAAUAGACACAGUCCGCAUGUCUCAAUCUUUUCAAAAUGAGUGAGACCAAAGAUCCAUCAACAUGGAGUUUCUUCAUGCGUUUUAUACCAACAGGACUCAAAUGGUAGUGCCACAAGUACGUGGUACUAUCAUUACUAUCUUAUAUCUUUUGGCAUGAACAUGUGUAUCACUACGAUCGAGAUUCAAUAAAUCAUUCAUUUUAGGUGCAAGACCAUUGAAGGUAUUAUUCAAAUAAACAGAGUAACCAUUAUUCUCCUUAAAUGAAUAACCGUGUGGCAAUAAACAUAAUUCAAUCAUGUCUAUGCUCAACGCAAACACCAAAUAACAAUUAUUUCGGUUUAACACCAAUCUCGAUGGUAGAGGGAGCGUGCGAUGUUUGAUCACAUCAACCUUGGAAACACUUCCAACACAUAUCGUCAUCUCACCUUUAGCUAGUCUCCGCAGCCUUUUAUUUCGAGUUACUAACGCUUAGCAACCGAACCGGUAUUUAUUACCCUGGUGCUACUAGGAGUACUAGUAAAGUACAGAAUAAUAUGACGUAUAUCCAAAAUACUUCUAUCGACCUUGCCAGCCUUCUCAUCUACCAAGUAUCUAGGGUAGUUAUGCUUCAGUGACCGUUCCCCUCAUUAUAGAAGCACUUAGUCUUGGGUUUGGUUCAACCUUGGGUUUCUUCACUAGAGCAGCAACUGAUUUGCCGUCUCAUGAAGUAUCCCUUCUUUCCCUUGCCCGUCUUGAAACUAGUGUUUUAACCAUCAACAAUUGAUGCUCCUACUUGAUUUCUACUUUCACAGUGUCAAACAUCGCGAGUUGCUCAAGGACCAUCAUGUCUAUCCCUGAUAUGUUAUAGUUCAUCACGAAGCUCCAAUAGCUUGGUGGCAGUCACUAUGGAGAACCAUCACUUUCUCAUCUGGAAGAUUAACUCCCACUCGAUUCAAGCGAUUGCAGUACUCAGACAAUCUGAGCACAUGCUCAACGAUUGAGUUUUUCUCCCUUAGUUUGCAGGCUUAAGAAACUUGUAGAGGUCUCAUACCUCUUGACGUGGGCACUAAUCUGAAAUUCCAAUUUUAGUCUUUGGAACAUCUCAUAUGUUCUGCAAUGUUUCAAAAAACGUCUUUGGUGCCACAAUUCUAAACCGUUAGCAUUACACGCUGAACUAUCACAUAAUCAUCAAAAUGUGUAUGUCAGAUGUUUCCCAAGAUCUACAGACGACGCUCGAGGUUCAACGCACUGAGCGAUGCAUUAAGGACAUAGCCCUUCUGUGCAGCAAUGAGGACAAUCCUCAGUUCACGGACCCAGUUCGCAUAAUUGCUACUGUCAACUCUCAACUAAAUUUUCCCUAGGAACAUAUCUAAAACAGUAGAACCAAAGCGUGAGCUACGACAUAAUUUGCAAAGACCUUUUGACUAUGUUCAUGAUAAUUAAGUUCAUCUAAUCAAAUUAUUCAAUGAACUCCCACUUAGAUAGACAUCCCUCUAGUCAUCUAAGUGAUACAUGAUCCGAGUCAACUAGGUCGUGUACGAUCAUCACAUGAGACGGACUAGUCAUCAUCGGUGAACAUCUUCAUGUUGAUCGUAUCCACUAUACGACUCAUGUUCGACCUUUCGGUCUUCCGUGUUCCGAGGCCAUGUCUGUACAUGCUAGGCUCGUCAAGUUAACCUAAGUGUAUUGCAUGUGUAAAUCUGGCUUACACCCGUUGUAUGCGAAUGUUAGAACCUAUCACACCCGAUCAUCACGUGGUGCUUCGGAACAACAGACCUUAGCAAUGGUGCACAGUUAGGGGGAACACUUUCUUGAAAUUAUUGCGAGGGAUCAUCUUAUUUAUGCUACCGUCGUUCUAAGCAAAUAAGAUGUAAACAUGACAAACAUCACAUGCAAAUCAUAAAGUGACAUGAUAUGGCCAAUAUCAUCUUGCGCCUUUGAUCUCCAUCUUCGAGGCGCGGCAUGAACACCAUCGUCACCGGCACGACACCAUGAUCUCCAUCGUCGUGUCUUCAUGAAGUUGCCUCGCCAACUAUUACUUCUACUACUAUGGCUAACGGUUAGCAAUAAAGUAAACUAAUUACAUGGUGUUUUCAUUGACAUGCAGGUCAUAAAUAAAUUAAGACAACUCCUAUGGCUCCUGCCGGUUGUCAUACUCAUCGACAUGCAAGUCGUGAUUCCUAUUACAAGAACAUGAUCAAUCUCAUACAUCACAUAUAUCAUUCAUCACAUCCUUUUGGCCAUAUCACAUCACAUAGCAUACCCUGCAAAAACAAGUUAGACGUCCUCUAAUUGUUGUUGCAUGUUUUACGUGGCUGCUAUGGGUUUCUAGCAAGAACGUUUCUUACCUACGCAAAACCACAACAGUGAUAUGCCAAUUGCUAUUUACCCUUCAUAAGGACCCUUUUCAUCGAAUCCGAUCCGACUAAAGUGGGAGAGACAGACACCCGCUAGCCACCUUAUGCAACUAGUGCAUGUCAGUCGGUGGAACAUGUCUCACGUAAGAGUACGUGUAAGGUCGGUCCGGGCCGCUUCAUCCCACAAUGCCGCCGAAUCAAGAUAAGACUAGUAACGGCAAGCAAAUUGAACAAAUCAUCGCCCACAACUACUUUGUGUUCUACUCGUGCAUAGAAUCUACGCAUAGACCUAGCUCAUGAUGCCACUGUUGGGGAACGUAGCAAUAAUUCAAAAUUUUCCUACGUGUCACCAAGACCAAUCUAGGAGAUACUAGCAACGAGAGAGAGGGAGUUCAUCUUCAUACCCUUGAAGAUCUCUAAGCGGAAGCGUUCAAGAGAACGGGGUUGAUGGAGUCGUACUCGUCAUGAUCCAAAUCACCGGUGAUCCUAGCGCCGAACGGACGGCACCUCCGCGUUCAACACACGUAUGGAACGGAGACGUCUCCCGCGCCUUGAUCCAGCAAGGAGGAGGGAGAGGUUGAGGAAGAGAGUCCAACAGCAGCACGACAGCGUGGUGGUGAUGGAGUGGCAGUUCUCCGGCAGGGCUUCGCCAAGCUCACGCGGAGGAGGAGAGGUAUUGGAGGGGAGGGGCUGCGCCAGGUGCAAGGGUAUGGCCGCCCUCCCACCCCUCCACUAUUUAUAGGUGGGGAGAGAGGGGGCGGCCCCCCUAGAUCCCAUCUAGGGUUGGGGGCGGCGGCCAAGGGGGGGAGGAGUGCCUCCCAAGUCAAGUGGAGGCCCUCCCCCUUAGGGUUUCCCCUCUCCCAUGCGCAUGGGCCUUGGGGGGGCUGGUGCCCCUGGCCCAUUAAGGCUAGGGAGCCCCCCUACAUCCCAUGCUGCUGUAUUGGACGUGGUGGAACAUUUUCCGGACCUCCGGACCCCUCCGGAAUCCUCCGGAACCUUCCGGAAGUUUCCCGGUACAAUACCGGAAAAACCGAACUUUUCCUGGAACCCGUACAAUAACUUUCCAUAUAUAAAUCUUUACCUCCGGACCAUUCCGGAACUCCUCAUGACGUCCGGGAUCUCAUCCGGGACUCCGAACAACAUUUGGUAAUCACAUACAAGUCUUCCUAAUAACCCUAGCGUCAUCGAACCUUAAGUGUGUAGACCCUACGGGUUCGGGAACCAUGCAGACAUGACCGAGACAUCUCUCUGGUCAAUAACCAACAGCGGGAUCUGGAUACCCAUGUUAGCUCCCACAUGUUCCACGAUGAUCUCAUCAGAUGAACCACGAUGUCAAGGAUUCAGUCAAUCCCGUAUACAAUUCCCUUUGUCUAUCGGUACGAUACUUGCCCGAGAUUCGAUCGUCGGUAUCCCGAUACCUCGUUCAAUCUCGUUGCCGGCAAGUCUCUUUACUCAUUCUGUAACACAUCAUACUGUGAUCAACUCCUUGAUCACAUUGUGCACAUUAUGAUGAUGUCCUACCGAGUGGGCCCAGAGAUACCUCUCCGUUACACGGAGUGACAAAUCCCAGUCUCAAUUCAUGUCAACCCAACAGACACUUUCGAAGAUACCCGCAGUGCACCUUUAUAGCCAUCCAGUUACGUUGUGACGUUUGGUACACCCAAAGCAUUCCUACGGUAUCCGGGAGUUGCACAAUCUCAUGGUCUAAGGAAAUGAUACUUGACAUUAGAAAAGCUUUAGCAUACGAACUACACGAUCUUGUGCUAGGCUUAGGAUUGGGUCUUGUCCAACACAUCAUUCUCCUAAUGAUGCGAUCCCGUCAUCAACGACAUCCAAUGUCCAUGGUCAGGAAACCGUAACCAUCUAUCGAUCAACGAGCUAGUCAACUAGAGGCUUACUAGGGACAUGGUGUUGUCUAUGUAUCCACACAUGUAUCUGAGUUUCCUAUCAAUACAAUUCUAGCAUGGAUAAUAAACGAUUAUCAUGAACAAGGAAAUAUAAUAAUAACUAAUUUGUUAUUGCCUCUAGUGUUGGGGAACGUAGUAAUUUCAAAAAAAAUUCCUACGCACACGCAAGAUCAUGGUGAUGCGUAGCAAUGAGAGGGGAGAGUGUUGUCUACGUACGCUCGUAGACCGUUCGCGGAAGCAUUAUAUCAUCGCGGUUGAUGUAGUCGUAUGUCUUCACGAUCUGACCGAUCCAAGUACCGAAAGCACGGCACCUCCGAGUUCUGCACACGUUCGGCUCGGUGACGUCCUCGCCUUCUCGAUCCCGCAAGAGGGGCGAAGUAGUAGAUGAGUUCCGGCAACACGACGGCGUGGUGAUGGUGUUGGUGAAGAACAAUCUCCGCAGGGCUUCAGCUAAGCACUACGAAAACUAUGAAGGAGGAUAAACUAGAGGAGAUGGGGUAGCCGGCACACGGCUUGGUGUUUCUUGAUGUGUCUUUGGUGCUAGCCCUACCCCUCUAUUUAUAUGUUGAGCCCUGGGGUCAAAACUUGGAGUAAAAGCCUCCUCAAAGUCGGUUUCACCUGAAAGGCAAGAGUCCUUCUCGGACUCCAGGGCUAGACGCCAGGGUUCCCGGCGUCUACCCCCUAGACGCUAGGGUUCCUGGCGUCUAGCCUCUGGUCUCCGCAAAACUUCCUUUUGCACUUUCCAAAAGCCUCGUGGGCUUUCCCCUUUGGCCCACAUAAAGUGUUCUCGUGCCCAAACAUUUCGGGAAACAUCCGGAACCCCUUCCGGUGAAUUCUGGAACCCUUCCGGAGAUCAAACACUACUAUCCCAUAUAUCAAACUUUGUCUCCGGACCAUUCCGGAGUUCCUCGUCAUGUCCGUGAUCUCAUCCCGGACUCCGAACAACAUUCGGUCACUAACAUACAUAACUCAUAUAGUACUAUAUUGUCAACGAACGUUAAGCGUGCGGACCCUACGGGUUCGAGAACUAUGUAGACAUGACCGAGACACCUCUCUGGUCAAUAACCAAUAGCGGGACCUAGAUGCCCAUAUUGGCUCCUACAUAUUCUACGAAGAUCUUUAUCGGUCAGACCGCAUAACAACAUACGUUGUUCCCUUUGUCAUCGGUAUGUUACUUGCCCGAGAUUCGAUCGUCGGUAUCUCAAUACCUAGUUCAAUCUCGUUACCGGCAAGUCUCUUUACUCGUUCCGUAAUACAUCAUCACGCAACUAACUCAUUAUUUGCAAUGCUUGCAAGGCUUAUAGUGAUGUGCAUUACCGAGUGGGCCCAGAGAUACCUCUCCGACAAUCGGAGUGACAAAUCCUAAUCUCGAAAUAUGCCAACCCAACAAGUACCUUUGGAGACACCUGUAGAGCACCUUUAUAAUCACCCAGUUAUGUUGUGACGUUUGGUGGCACACAAAGUGUUCCUCCGGUAAACGGGAGUUGCAUAAUCUCAUAGUCAUAGGAACAUGUAUAAGUCAUGAAGAAAGCAAUAGCAACAAACUAAACGAUCAAGUGCUAAGCUAACGGAAUGGGUCAAGUCAAUCACAUCAUUCUCCUAGUGAUGUGAUCCCGUUAAUCAAAUGACAACUCAUGUUUAUGGUUAGGAAACAUAACCAUCUUUGAUCAACGAGCUAGUCAAGUAGAGGCAUACUAGUGACACUCUGUUUGUCUAUGUAUUCACACAUGUAUUAUGUUUCCGAUUAAUACAAUUCUAGCAUGAAUAAUAAACAUUUAUCAUGAUAUAAGGAAAUAAAUAAUAACUUUAUUAUUGCCUCUAGGGCAUAUUUCCUUCAUCUAGGGCAUAUUUCCAACAUUUGCUGCAAAACAAAAAACAUGCAACAGACAGGAACUGGCACUGGGCACUGGAUCAAUAUGUUAGUCCCAAAAAUAGUAUAAAAAGUUGCCAAAAGUAUAUGAAAGUUGUAGAAUAUUGGCAUGGAAUAAUCAAAAAUUAUAGAUACGAUGGAGACGUAUCAACCCUCCGGUUGGCCAGGCCAACGUGGCGGCAGCGGCAGCUGCCUUGGUUUCGUCUGUGGACUUCUUCUUUGGGGCGGCGUUGUCGAGCAUGGUGUCAAUGCAGGGGAAGUAUUGUAAGUAGAGGACGGCGGAGAUGGGGAAGGAUCAGGAGCAGUUGCGCCGAGACGCUCCCCAAAAACCUUAUUAUCAUUUUCCCGGCUAGAUCUCGAGCGACAAGGUUCCAAAGUCACCUGCUCUCCCGACCAACCGUGCACGCGAUCGUCGGGACGGGAUCGCUAGAAGUAGCACAGAGACAGGACAUGUAGAUGACGGCUAGGGUUGUGAAGGAAGGAGUGAAUGAGUUUGGGUUCACUCCACACGCCAGCGCCUCCUUUUAUAGGUCAUCGGGUAGAUGGGCCUGGGCUUAGGCCCACGACCGAGUCCGCCAACAGCCCACGGUCCAAUGUCUCGAACAUUGGCACUUUCGUUAGCGACUCAUUAAUUAAUUAAUUCACAAUUAAUUAACCAUUCUUGACCGGCAAAAAUAAACCUUAGCUCGUUGCCGCAACCCGCAUCACGUGCGUGCGUCAUGACGAGGCGUGGCGAAUCGAGGUGGGCGGCGAAGGAGGAGGAGCGCGCGUGUACAACUCCUCUUCCCAAGCUCCUAAUGACAUGUGGUAGAGCAGUCCUUAUAAAGAUGUCCCACUCUUACUACUAUAGCAGUAUGGUACUAAACUUUGCACCAUUUGUCAUGCACCUAAAUGGACCAUAGAGAUUAACCAGGAAUUAUUGUCUUAUAUGGGGCAAAGCCCAUCUAUAAUGCAAUAGUAUAGCAUGUAAAUGGUGCACGGUCAUCUGUGCUCUCUGUGUAUCCAUGGACAGCUCAAAAAGUUUAUGUUUCUUGCUAAAACAAAGUCAAACUAAUCGCAUUCCUUUUUUGGAAAUAAAACCUUACCAUUGGCAGCAUUUUCAUUUUUGUAAGCUAAACAUAAAUUGUGUCUAUCACGAACUCUUGGCACAUGAUUCAGAGCAAGAUUGGGUUCUUGAUGACGAGGGACUAGAAUCAAAGAGUCUAGAGCUCGGUGUUGGGGAUGCAGAAAAUGUUGAAAUUACAUGUACUAGGCCCAUUACAUAAAUCAUAUGAUUCCUAGAAUAAAUCAUAUAGGCCCACUUGGCCCAUUCAUGUAUUACAAGAGGUGUGAAACUUUAGUCCCACACUGCUAAUUGGGGACGAGGUAGACAAAUAUAUAAGGUUGAGAAGGGGACACAACAAGUUCUCCUCCUAUGACCCCUGACUUGCCUAUGGAUUUCACUAAAAGAGUCAUCUCAUGUGCUCCUAGAGCUCGGUUGUUGGAUCUAGAUGAAAAUAUAUGUGAGUUUAUGUUGUUUACGAAAAUAGAAGUAAAACAAACAUACUUGUUGCAAGUGCACAUGGCUAUGUAGCAAUUUCGUGAUAAGUAAGGUUUGUCGAUCCCACAGGGAGCGAAUAGGAUGGCACCACAAUCCCCACAGCUGCACUCUCACUUAACACAAGUACGCUCACACCCAAACCGGAGUUUGGAAAUAGUUUACUUAAGUAGGUUACUAAGGAACAAAGAAAGGGAGAAUUAAAUUAGAGAGACGAAAAAUAAAUACUAAACUAAACAGAGGAAAUAAACUAUGAGAAGUAUGUGAUGUUUUAGAUGAGAUUGCUGGCAUCUAGGUACGGUACCGUUCGGUACGGGCACGGGAUGGAGUCAAGUUUUAUGAGUAUGCCAUGUGGUGGCUAAGUCAGUACCUGCAGUAUAUGAUAUAGUGGUCUAUGUCUGAUGGGCGGUCCCUCACAUAACGUUAUCUCUCAAGAUGCAAUAUAUUGAGAUAACCCAUUCGCCCUACUUCUUGUCCCGUACUUGCGGCGGCUAACGUAAAGAUAUUAAUGUCACAAGGACCGGACGAAGGCAAUAAGUUCUAUGGACUAAGGCAUAGCCUAGUGGGAAGGGGCUGAUGCCUUUCCAUCCACCCAGGUUCAAGGCAUGGUACUUGCAAUUUGGGUUUGUUGCACCAACUAUACUGUAGGGGGUUCCCUUACAGUCUUUUUGUCAAAAAAAAGUUCUAUGGACAACCAUGACUCCUAGAAUAAUUGUGUCCCCCUCAAGAUAUCUACACAUCUCACAUCACAAGUCUAUCAGUUUGCAUAACCAUCUAUCCACUUCAUGUGUGGCAUGGAAAGGACAGACCAAGUUACACAAAGGAUCAUGGAGAACUAAGGGCAUGUUUGUCGUAGAUGAUUUUUACUCAGAAGGUGGUGAUUUCUUCAAGGACUUUCUUGUAAUAUCUUAUUCUUCUAAGAAAGUUUUUGUGGACUUGCUUGUAGUUCUUAUUCUUAUGAGUUCUUGUAAAAGCAUGUUUUAUUUAGUAUGUGACCAUGGCCUUGUACUUUUCCUGUCAAAUCAGUUUAUCAUGUCGAAUGUGAACAUCAGUAUGGCAAAGCUUGGGGAGUUUCCUUUCAAUGCCUCAUAUAUAAUCCCUAUCCUCAUAUAUGAUCGCUAUCAGGUACUACCUUUGUUCCUUAAUAUAAUAUGUUUUGGUAGUUUUUUUAGAUCAACCUCGCUAAGUUUUAUUCAAGCCUUUAAAUCUAGGCUGAUACGACCGAUAUAUCACUUUUGGGGUUCUACCGAUAUAAAGGUAACAUAUCAUUUUGUAAAUAUCAAUUUUCAAACAUAUCAUAUGAUACAGACCGAAAUAUCGACCGCUAUGGCCGAUAUCUAGCCCGAUAUGUACACUGAUAUAGAAUGAUGGAAAUAUGACAACAAUUAUUUAUUAGAAUGUUGUGAAAUAAGAUUAUGCAUUUACAGCUUUAUUAUAUAUCAAAGUCAUGCACAAUCUUUCAUACAAAUGCAUAUAUAUAGUAUUGUUUUUAAUCAUAGAGUAAGGAUUUUGUGAAUCUUUCCUUAAUAGUUUCUUAAUCAAGAAGUUAAUAAAGUGGGAAUCUAAAAGUGUCAUAUUAAAGCAUUGACAUCAUACAUUUUGUUUUACUAAAAAUAAAUGUUUUGAACAAGAAUAAUGAAAACAAAACUAGACAUGUUUUCUUCGAUAUAUGUACAUAUCGUCCAAUAUAUCACUCGAUAUCCAAUAUGUCGAAGCUAACAUGUAUAGAUAAAGUAUAGAAAGGAGUGCCUAGCCACAGGUGGCGUCUCAUCGGUAAAAAAAGCUAGCAUUCUUUAGCGGCAUUGUGAGCUUCGAAGUUGUUGUUUCGAUGCUCAUGAGUGAAACGACAUUCCAGAAAUAAUUUAGAACGUCCUUACGAUCUCCUUGGUGAUAGAUGCAUGAGCUCCCAGUCCUUCCUUUGCGGUGUCAUCAAUAACAAUCUUGCAAUCCGAGGCCAAAAUGAAUCUUCAUAGUGCUAAAUCUGAAGCCAAAGUGAGCCGUUCACAACAUGCUAUAGCCUCUGCGCCGAUGCUCGCAUCUACUACUCCGUCCCAUAUAAGACGCUUUUUUGACACUAGGGUCGGAGGGAGUAUUGAUGCUCGCAUCUACUACUCCAUCCCAUAAUGUAAGACAUUUUUUUGACACUAGGGCCGGAGAGAGUAUUAAUUUCGUCUUUGACGAAUCCAUGCGAAUCCAUGCGUUGCAAACGGACUAUGCCACUAUGGUAUAUAUUCUCAUGAAUCGAUUUCCUCCGUGCUGACCAGAUAGCUCCCAUGCCGACCACCAUGAGUGUAAACUCCUCGUCUGAUGAUGCAUCAUGCAUUGAAAAACAACCAGUUUUUAGCUUCAGGUUCCGUGAUUUUGUUUCCAGCGAUGCUGCGCACACUUCUCCGCCGAAGGGGCCAUUACUAAAUGGGCUGGUAGACAAUGAAAACCGCACACUCCCCCACCGAAGGGGCAUUAGGUACAAACAGCUCAAGGUCCUAAAGGAUACAAAAUCAAACCUGCUUUACUGCCCAGAUCAAUAAGGUCUGGGAAGAACAUACAACCAUCGCCAUACAGAUAGCUCAGAUACAAAAGUAAGAAAACAAAGACGUUUGAUUUCUGUGAAGAAAAGGUGAUAGGUGUUCUCAAAUAGAAACCACGCACUAAAGAUUGCCAAAAACUCACGGUUUUACUCUGAACUCAGAAUGCAAUGUACUACCAUGUCAAUCCAAUUGCAAAUAUAGUGUCAAAAAUUCAUAGUUUUACUCUGAACUUGAAGUGCAAUGUGCUACAUUCGUAUCCAAUUGCCACAGGCUACAAACUUGGCAUAAUAUGGAAAUACGGGGCAAAGCGUUGAGAUAAAUAGAAUUUCACCAACAUGCAAAAUCUAUUUCUUCUUGUCCGCGGCACCAC
rnacentral:lncRNA from 1 species